GUGCAAGAAUCACACAAAUGUAACAGAACAAAACUCAACACAAUGGAAGACUUUCACUCUCAUAUCAGGUCUGCUGAAUGCUGUUCUGAUCAUUACAGGACUCUUAAAUGUUGUUACUGUUGUAAAUGGAUGUUGGAACAGAUCUGGAAACAGUUCACAACUUUAUAACACUGAACUGCAGCAGAAGCAACAUUUAAAAGAGCCUCAAGAACCAAAUCAAUUACAGUAUGUGACAGUGGUUUUCCAAGCUGUUUAAAAUAUUAAGACCAGCCAGAUCAACAGCACCUACUGUAUGUUGCUAAAAAGCUGCCAAAGUAAAUCUGUAUUUAUGUUGUACAACACAGGAUCAUUCACUGGUUUAUGAAUUAAUAACCUAACUUCUUGGUUUUUCUAAACAACCACUAGAUAAAUUGCAUACAAUUUUUUU